AUUUACUAAACAUGUCAUAACAUUUGUUAUCCACAUUACAGUUUUUUAUACUUUGUUUUUUCAUACCAGGGUCAAAAAGUUCCUAUAGUGAGUCCUUUUGGAUUACCAGUAGCUUAUUAUGGGUACCAUCAACCUAAUAUUAACAUAUACCAGCAAAAUUCCUUGAGCAUCAGAUCUCAGGGUAGCUUUCUUACUAGCGGGAGUUAUUUUGGAGUACCUGGUGGAAGUUGGGUAGCUGGCACCAGUGGAUCCAUGAAUGCACACCAUCUGCCUCUUAUGGGUGCCAAACAGGCAUCAACUGGUAACAACAAAAUUAUUCGAGGACCAGCGCCUGCCUAAGUUUGGAGGGCAGCGGGUUCGAUGUCAAUGUUAGCUGCAUUGCUGUUUGAAGGGCAGAAUAGUUGUUUUGUGCUAUGAAUGUAUGGGGGAUUUCUUGGAUGCAGAAUAUGAGAUAUUGUACUAUGGAUGUAUGGGGUCUUUUUGUUGUAUGCAAGUCUACUCACCUUUUGCGCAUGUUGGAUUUGUUGAAUGCGAGGAUAGCCCUUUUCCAUCAUUUCUUGUUGUAAGAUGUGGAGCUUACUAUUGGUCUUGUGCUAGGGUUUGUAAGGCUAUUCCACUUUCGUUCAGAGGUGGUGUUUUUUUGGUGUGUUCGAGUUUGCCCAUUGUUGGUUAGAUUGUGAUAGUUUGUGUGGCAGUUUUGUCGAAGCUGUCUGAGUGCUUAGACCUCUCGCCUAUUGUCUUAUUUUGUUUGUUUAUAUUAUUUUUGUAUACCUCUCUUCCAUAUAAUAGGCAUGGUUUCCUAUUAUUUUUGUACAGUCUGCCUAAAUAGACGUACAGGCUAUUUUUUGUGUGUAAAGAAUGUUAUGCAGGAAAGGAAAUAGAGGAAAAGGGAAAAAAACAAAGGAAAAUUUAGUUAUCACUCACUUGGUAGGUGUAUGUUAUGAUUCUUUUGAGUAUGUUGUGGGCUUGGUUUCA